UAAACGACUCUCGGCAACGGAUAUCUCGGCUCUCGCAUCGAUGAAGAACGCAGCGAAAUGCGAUGCUUGGUGUGAAUUGCAGGAUCCCGCGAACCAUCGAGUCUUUGAACGCAAGUUGCGCCCAAAGCCUUUUGGCCGAGGGCACGUCUGGCUGGGUGUCACUC
rnacentral:rRNA from 1 species